rnacentral:rRNA from 1 species
GACGGACGCUGGCGGCGUGCUUAACACAUGCAAGUCGAACGGAAAGGCCCCAGCUUGCUGGGGUACUCGAGUGGCGAACGGGUGAGUAACACGUGGGUGAUCUGCCCUGCACUCUGGGAUAAGCCUGGGAAACUGGGUCUAAUACCGGAUAGGACCGUGCUUUAGUGUGUGCGGUGGAAAGUUUUUCGGUGCAGGAUGAGCCCGCGGCCUAUCAGCUUGUUGGUGGGGUAAUGGCCUACCAAGGCGGCGACGGGUAGCCGGCCUGAGAGGGUGUACGGCCACAUUGGGACUGAGACACGGCCCAGACUCCUACGGGAGGCAGCAGUGGGGAAUAUUGCACAAUGGGCGGAAGCCUGAUGCAGCGACGCCGCGUGGGGGAUGACGGCCUUCGGGUUGUAAACCCCUUUCGGCAGGGACGAAGCUUUUGUGACGGUACCUGCAGAAGAAGCACCGGCUAACUACGUG